AUAAAUAAGCGGAGGAAAAGAAACCAAACGGGAUUCCCUUAGUAACGGCGAGCGAAAAGGGAAAAGUCCAGCACCAAGUCUUGACAUCUAUGGUGUUCAAGAGAUGCGGUGUUAAUGUAUCGACCCAUCGUGCACUGUUCCACAUUUCAAGUUCCUACGACUGGGACUUCCAGAGCGGGUGUAAGACCCAUAGAGAUGAGGAACCAGUGUAUGCUGAGCGAUGCAUUCUAGAGUCAGGUUGCUUGAGAGUGCAGCUUAAAGUCGGUGGUAAACUCCAUCCAAGACUAAAUAUUACAGCGAGACCGAUAGCAAACAAGUACCGUGAGGGAAAGUUGCAAAGCACUUUGAAGAGAGAGUCCAAAAGUACGUGAAACCACUGGGAGGCAAACAGAUGGAACCACGAAGUGUGCGCCUCGGUCGAUUCAAUCAUCACCAUUUGUCAGUUGUUUGAGAUCAGGAUCUUUUCGGAGAUUGAUUUCCAGCAAYUAUGAUGRAUGGUGUUGGUGCAUUUCGUGCCGGGGAUGCUAAGCCACGUUCAACUAGAGUUGGGACGGCUGUAAGAAAGAAUCCGAGAAAGGUGCCCGUCACGUGCUUGCAUUUGACGGUGUUAUAGUCUUGGAUUGGCACCGUCACCUAACAUACUGGUUGAUGCAAAUUCUCCAUUUGGAGUUGAACCAUAUCUGCCUGUGACUGUUAGUCGAUGUUGAGUAAUGUUCUUUGCGUAUCUUUCGAUGCGAAAAGACUUUGCGAAGAUGUCGGCUAAUGGCUGCUUGCGUGAUAUGGUGGAACUGUGGCGCGAGUAGGUCGGUCUCCAUCUGACCCGUCUUGAAACACGGACCAAGGAGCCUAUCAUAUACGCGAGUCGCUCGGUCUUGUUUAGGCCUGGGAGGCGUAAUGAAAGUAAAGUUACUAGGCUUCGGCUGCAGUAACGGCUCGCCCACUUUGUUUAUUGGCAAUAUGGCGAAGCUGGAGCGUAUACGAUGGUACCCGAAAGAUGGUGAACUAUGCCUGGGCAAGACGAAGCCAGAGGAAACUCUGGUGGAGGUCUGUAGCGAUUCUGACGUGCAAAUCGAUCGUCAGACCUGGGUAUAGGGGCGAAAGACUAAUCGAACCAUCUAGUAGCUGGUUCCCUCCGAAGUUUCCCUCAGGAUAGCAGGCGUUUAUUUCKKGCAGUCUCAUCCGGUAAAGCUAAUGAUUAGAGGUCUUGGGGUUGAAACGACCUCAACCUAUUCUCAAACUUUAAAUGGGUGAGAUGGUUGACUUUCUUGAUUGAAGCCAACCAUUUGGAUGCAAAUGCCUAGUGGGCCAUUUUUGGUAAGCAGAACUGGCGCUGUGGGAUGAACCAAACGUCGAGAUAAGGCAUCAAAUGCGUACGCUCAUCAGACCCCAUGAAAGGUGUUGGUUGCUAUAGACAGCAGGACGGUGGCCAUGGAAGUCGGAAUCCGCUAAGGAGUGUGUAACAACUCACCUGCCGAAGCAACUAGCCCUGAAAAUGGACGAUGCUGUAGCGUGGAGCCGAUACUCGACCGUUAURAUGAUUUAAAUUACGAUAUCAUAACGAGUAGGAGGGCCGCAGUGUUAGCGUUGAAGGUGUCCGGCGUAAGCCGGCCUGGAGCUAUCAUUGUU
rnacentral:rRNA from 2 species